AAGUAUGAUGAUUUAGAGGUAUGCAAUCAUAUUGAUUUUGUCAGACAUUAAUAUGAUC
rnacentral:snoRNA from 1 species